rnacentral:lncRNA from 1 species
GGUGUGGAAGCUUCGAGACAUCUAGGGUUUCGACGACUAUGAUAUGUGCUCUGGAACGAAAGAAAGAAAAUGUUGUGCGGGACGAGAUUGGAGAGAUGAAAUGGGGACAAGAGACAGAAAUGUUGUGCGGGACAAGAUUGAAAGAACUGAAAUGGGGACGAGAGAAAGACGUUGUGCGGGACAAGAUUGAAAGAACUGAAAUGGGGACGAGAGAAAGACGUUGUGCGCUCUAGACGAUAGAAAUAUGCUACGCUCAGGGACGACUAUAAUGAAAAAAAGUAAAAUGAAAGAAGGGUUUGGCACAUAUUAAGAUAGGUGUUUUAAUAUCUAUCAUAAGAUGUUUUCCCCAUAAUUUCCAUUUUACCACCGCGUCUAACUUAUUAUGAUAGGUGAUCUUUACCUGUUAUAAUACAUGUAACUUUUAUUAUGAAAAUGCCACCGUUACACUUAUUAUGAUAG